UGGGGAAUAUUGGACAAUGGGCGAAAGCCUGAUCCAGCCAUGCCGCGUGUGUGAAGAAGGUCUUCGGAUUGUAAAGCACUUUAAGUUGGGAGGAAGGGCAUUAACCUAAUACGUUAGUGUUUUGACGUUACCGACAGAAUAAGCACCGGCAAACUCUGUGCCAGCAGCCGCGGUAAUACAGAGGGUGCAAGCGUUAAUCGGAAUUACUGGGCGUAAAGCGCGCGUAGGUGGUUUGUUAAGUUGGAUGUGAAAUCCCCGGGCUCAACCUGGGAACUGCAUUCAAAACUGACUGACUAGAGUAUGGUAGAGGGUGGUGGAAUUUCCUGUGUAGCGGUGAAAUGCGUAGAUAUAGGAAGGAACACCAGUGGCGAAGGCGACCACCUGGACUAAUACUGACACUGAGGUGCGAAAGCGUGGGGAGCAAACA
rnacentral:rRNA from 1 species